ensembl:lncRNA
GGGGGACUGGAGGGAGGUUGUGUGUGUGUGUGUGCGCACGCUUACUUGCUCAGCUGUGUCCGACUCUUUGUGACCUCAGGGACUGUAGCCCACCAGGCUCCUCUGUCCAUGGGAUUCUCCAGCCCGCCAGGCUUCUCUGUCCAUGAGGAUUCUCCAGGCAAGAAUACUGGAGUGGGUUGCCAUGACCUCCUCCAGGGGAUCUUCCUGACCCAGGAAUUGAAUUGGUGUCUCCUGCCUUGCAGACGGAUUCUUUACCAGCUGAGAGACCACGGAGGCCCACAUACAUUUCUCAUGACGGUCGUAGUGGCCCAGAGCUGUCUACUUGCAAGAAUAACAAUUUUUUGGAUCCAGGGCUGGUGUUGUUUUGGAAGAGAACCACGUGCAGGCGAUUCUCUGAUCAAGGAGGGUGACCGGCUUCUCAAGGCAUCGCCAUCUCCAGGCAGGGCUGACACAUUCUUCCUUUAGGAGACGGGCCUUUUCAUCUUUACAGCCAUUGAGAACAUUAUAAUCAACACGCCUGCAAAGAUUUUUGGACCUGCGUCAUGAGAGAAUGUUUUAGGGGACUCAGCAGCCAUUUUUCAGUAAAAAUAAAUAUUCAUGUGUUUCCAAAAAAUGCUCCCAUGUCGACCUUAGUUAACCACAUGCAGUAGAGACAAUAAUAGAAGUGAUCCUCACAUUUCCUUGGGCAACAGGUAAACGCAGAAAGAACUAUGUGUGGCAUUAAAGGAGAACCAGAGGCCCAGAACCGUCGAGGACUUCGGUGAAUGCCACGAGACCAGCGUCUGUGAAAUGGCAGUGACAAGGCCGGUCACCAUACCCCAUCCGGAACGGCUCAGAGUGGAGCCAUUUCAGAGAGUUUAUCUUCCGUCCCCUCAAGGCCCACACUGAGGAAUUGGGCUUCAGUAGGAUCAGCGCCCCUUUAGGUAUCCGUGAGCCUCGGUGACUGAUACUCCUAACAGUGCUUUAGGGUGG